GCUCCCAUGGCGUAGUGGUCACUGCGCUCGCCUUGCACGCGGGAGACCCGGGUUCGAUUCCCGGCGGGGAGUA
rnacentral:tRNA from 1 species